AGAUGAACCGGAGACUCCUCAGCCCCCAGGUGCAGCAGGAUUCCAGCUGGUCCAGAAGAAACAAGUGCAGCUGCAUAAAAAAUGUUUUCCCAAUUUCACUGAUGGAAAAACAAGGAUGGUGAAGCAGUUAGUGACAGAACCAGGGCUGGAACCCGCCACUCCUGACUCCAAACUCCUGGCGCCUUCUACACGGGGCCUCGAGAAAAGCGGGACAGGUAAGUGCAAAGACCCAAACCCAGCGCAGCGCCCAAGCAGGUGCUCAGGCCCGGGCGCUGAACCCUGACGCUGGGCCUGGAGAGCCAGGAGGUGGCAGUCUGCCCGAGGAGGAGGCUUCCCGAGAAGGCAAGGGCAGCGGACCCGGAGAGAAGCCAGUCUCCGAGUGGGGCUGGGGUUCGCCCACCCAAGCUCCGCCUCCCCCAGGCCCAAAAUUCUGUGCACUAGGAGGCUCGAACUUAAGAGCUGACAGCAGGAGAAAAAGGAGGGGGUGAGGGCAAGAAAUACAAAAGUGAUGAAAAGGGAGAAAUGGGGAGGAGAGACCGGACAUAAAGAAGAACGUUGGGAGCCCGGGGAAAGGGGCCGCACUAGAGGUAGGUCGCGAAUCCGAAGAGCUCCGCUCUGCCAGAGCCCCACAAACAAUCCCCCGGUGGCCCCACUCACCCCAGAUGGC
rnacentral:lncRNA from 1 species